CUUAAUGAAGGCUUCUCUUUCGUUUUUGGCAAUUUUCUAACUUAAUUUGGAAUCACUUUGAUGAUCCGAUUCGUUUAUAUUAUAGAAAUUGUCAAUUAAAAUAAUUAUGUACAAUAUCAAGUCAAUCGAACACUUGGUAUUUAAUCGGAGAACAUAUAUUUUGAAAAAAUAAGAAAGAAAGUGAGCUGUGCACACUCGAUUACAACUCGAAAGACUUUUUCCCUCGAAGGCUUUUGGAGUAGUCCGUUACAACCGUUGCAAAUCCAAGUCCACCUUCACCGCCGCCGAUCCGAGUUCCUAUCACUGAGUCAGCCAGUAGUCGGUAGAGGUGUGUUCGCGACUCGGGCGCGAUCGGAGCUGGUGAACUCAUCCACACGGCUAAACCCAUUGUCUCUCACCCUUCUCUCUCUCUACAACAACCGGUGUUUGCUGUUUGUGUGCCUCAGAAGUCUCAGAAACAAUCUAAUGUGUUUGACAUUUGGCUUCUGAAGGAAGUCGUUUUUCGGCCUAUGGUUUUGUAAAGCCUUGAUUCGAAAGUAAGCAGCACGAUCGGGAUCAAUAGCUUUGAGCCAUUCUUUCAACUGAAGUUUUCCGGGCAAUUGAGAUUCAUAUGACUUGGAACUUCACGGGUGGUGGAUGAGAAAGUUUUGGUUGAUCCAACCAUGCUUAUCCGAAGCUUAUCAUUGAGUAACAUGAAGCUUAAGUUGAGGCAAAAAGGAAAAGAGUUCAGAAUGACACGAGCUUAAAAUAGUAAUGCCCUUAUUUUCUCCUAUAAUAAUGUUGUAUUUUCUCUUACUAAGCUAACACACACUCUGUCUGUUUCGGCCGAAAAUUUCUGGGGUUUGGUGCGGCGGAAAACAAAAAUCAACGGAAGUUGUUUCUGUGGUAAACAGAAAAUGUGGUGGUGUUUCUUUUUUUGGCGUUCAAAAAAAGAAAAUGAGUUGCUUUUGAUGAGAAUCAUUUUCCAGGCCGGCACCACUACCACAACACAGUACUGCCUCCACCUCUCAAUGACAACCACCAUACCGCCACCCACCACUGCUCCUGCUACCACCAACUCCCGUCACUACCACCAUCACUACCCUAAUCACAAGCACCAUUGUUCGCAGGGUGCAGCCAACCACGAGAAACCGUUGGUUUUUGAGAAAACCUUUUGCUGAAACUAAUAGAGCAUCUGUGUAAAGAUAGCAUCACACUUCCCCCAAGUGUUUAGCGAUGGUCAUAAAAGAAAAUGGCUAAACAAUCCUUUUUAUCUUCCCUUCUUACAUACGUGCUCUAAACAAUCCAUUUUUAUUUAUUUUGUGGAGAUGCCAAUAUUGAUUUCCUCACUCCAGUUACAAAUUAUCCCAUUUAUGGCCCAAUGCUUUUUGUAUCCUCUUACAAUGCUGGUUUGAUUUAUCCAAAGCUUGUGCUAACUUUCUCACAUCUCUUAGAUUUUUUGCGGCCCUUCAGCUAAUACAUUUAUGGCACCAAUUAUUUGAAGUCUAACAUGAUGAAUUUUCGGAUUUCAGUGCUCUCAACCUGCUCUAAGGAUGUGUUCAAUUGGAUGAUCAAAAUAUGUUUACGUGCGUGUGUAUUUGAGUCAUUAGCUUUCAAGUCUUGUAGUGAUAGAACUAUUUAGAUCAAAUUAUCCACAUUGUCUCUACAUGCCUUUGUUUCUGUCGUUCUUCCUACUUUCCUUCCCAUAAUACUCUCAUUUGUUAAUCCUCCUCCAUUUAUUUGGUAUCAUUUUCGAAGAUUCGGCAGAACUUUUAGCUACUAGACUCGUAUUUCAUAAUGGAGUUUCUGAAUUAUGCGUUGGUGCAAAGCCUUUUGGUGUAUAGAAAGUUCGAGUAUAAUUUUUUAUCAGUUUUUUGUGUUUAUGAAAUCAUUACUAUGACUGGUUUGGUGGGCUGGUUUUACCUGCGAUAUCCCCAUGUGUCCUCCGUUUAAAGUGGGGGUGAAAACCUCAUUAAGCUCUUCAUUUUCUGGACCAACUAUGAUAUGAGCACACCAUGAAACAAGAAGACAAUGUAUGUGUUUAUUUCUAGUGGUGAAGCAUUGGUUCAAUGUGUUUAUUCCUAGAGGAUAUUGAAAUGGCCAGGAGCAAGUGUCAGGUGAUUCGAUAAUAGAAUCUGACUCAAUGCCCUUAUCAAACAAAUUGAGCAAUGGCUGGCUACUCUAGAUUUGGAUAGAAUGUUUAUGGGAGACUUAGCCAAAUGUUUGUUUUUAUUCCCUCAAAGAUGUCAACCAUUUACAUUAACCAUGUUUAACCCAAGGCAAAACUUUCCUUUUUCUGGGCUAUGCUCUCCAAUGUACCCAAAAGAAAAUUCUUAGCAUGCAAAAAUUCCAGUGUGACCACGUAGCUGCCCAAUAAUGUAUGGUCACGUAAUCACUUUGUCAAUGUGUAUAUAUGCAUUGAUGUUCUCGUCAUAUAACUCGUACCGAAAUAUUUCAUUUUUUCGCAUCAUUUCUUUCUCUAUCUUUUCACUUCCCUUUUUUUUUUCCUUAGUUUUUGGCUUUCGUUCUGCAAAUUCAAGCUCAAAAAGCACAAGCUUACAAUUAUCAGUUUUGUACCUUCUCACAUGUCCAACAUCAGCAACCAAAAAUAGCAAGCAAACGAACCAAUGAACAACUAACCAUGAAUUACAUAAAUACUGUAGUAUUGGUUGAGUAUAGUGGACAUGACUGGUUGCAUAAUCAGAUGCUAGCAAGACACAAAUAAAGAAUUUGGGAAUAUAUCUGCUCUGUGGGAAAUGAAGAUUCAAACACAGCUGCCAUUGUAAAAAAUGGUUUAUGGAUUAGACUGGGAAAUGGUGCAGCAACUAGUUUUUGGUCUGAUUUAUGGUUGGCAGAAUCUGCUCCUCGUAGCACCCAAGUAUUUUGGUUAUCGACAUUCGACAGGGAAUGGAUUCUGUCAGUGGUGCUAGGAAUCAUGUUUAUGCUUUGGUUGGACUACGGAUUUUGUGAAAGGAAAGGAAUUUUGAGAAAGAUCGAAGUCUUCCGGAGAACUUGGCACGUGUCUGCGCGCGUGAAAGGAUUCUUUUCAUCUGUGAUUUUCUCUGUGUAUGAUUUAUCUGCUGUGUACUACCAGCACUCGCGGCGGUAUCAUUUGCUGUGAGAGAAAUUUUCAGAUAUAGAGAAAUCUAGCAGUUGAAUCUUGUAUGGUAGUUGUAUUCUUGUACUAUCGGUUUCUGGGAAUUUUUUUCAUUCUCAUGUCAGCUUCUUUUUCUA